UACGUAGGGUGCAAGCGUUGUCCGGAAUUAUUGGGCGUAAAAGAGCUCGUAGGCGGUUUUGUCACGUCGGCCCGUGAAAAAACCCUGCAGCUUAAACUGUGGGGCGUGCGGGUCGAUACGGGGCAUCACUGGAGUUUCGGGCAGGGGGGAGACUGGAAUUUCCUGGUGUAGCGGUGAAAAUGCGCAGAUAUCAGGGAGGGAAACACCCGGGUUGGGCGAAAGGGCGGGGGU
rnacentral:rRNA from 1 species